GGGCACAAGCAGGUAUUAGGAGAAGGUAAGAUGGAUUAAUGAAAGCAGACAAGACAGGAGGAACGAGCGUGUAUUAUCGAGUUGUUUAUUGGGGAGAAGCUUAGUCCAACACCAGGAGAAGUGAUGUACGUUUUCUUUAGAAACACAUUACAAGCACAUGUAACAUGACAAGUCUUUUUGAUUUUGCAAUUUCACAACACUUUCUGUCUAGCCUUGUGGACGAACUGGACACAGUGUGUUUCCAAUGAACAUUUUUAGAUGUAAAGUUAAGUUAUUAACAUAACUGAUAUUUUUACUUGAAACUUAAUUUGUUUACAGUUUUUACCACGAGCAGCUGGCCUUCUUUUUCUUCCUCCAUUCUGAUCUCAUCUUUCUCCAACAGCUUGCUGGAAACGCUGAGUCGCCUCUCUUCCUCUAUUUCUGCAUCCCCUCCCUCUGAAUCAUCCUCCACUGGUUUGGGGCCAAAUAUCCAGUCUGUAAGAGGAAACAUGUUGGAAAUGAAUUAAAAUGAUUUAUUUUUAUGUCUUCUCUGUGUAUCUUUUAAAGGGGCAUUGCACCGGGUUUAGAUUCACUUCAGUUGUCAUGUCAUGCAUGACAAACUGCAGCAUAGAGGAUGCUGUUUCUUUUGGGGGGUUAUUAAAUAGCCAAAGCAGGAACUUUGUGGAAUUGCACAAAUUGAACAUUGACCGCCCCCUUAAGAUGGCUUUUUUUAGCAGCCAUUUGAUCAGCUGUUGACAUUCACCUUAAAAGAAUAACAGACACCACUGGGAAGGUUAUCCUAUCCACAAACCAGAGGGUGAACAUGAAGGAAACUGUCGUCAAAACAAGGAAAAGAUCAAAAGUUGAUUCACGAGAGCUCAGGGACAGAAAGGACACCACAAACACAGAUGCCAGAGUGGACACGGUGGCAUCAGUUCAGGAUGUGUCCACCUGGGGUUACCUGCCAGGUCAUGCAACAGGUCAUCAAUGAGGUGUCCCACUAUGGCGUAGGUGGCCACUAUGAUCACCACCACCCCAACUAUUACAUAGACUACAUUGGGUGGGAGAGUUAUAGCAUCUCUCGCAGGGGGGAUGUAGUCCACAAAAUACACCUCCUCCUCCUCCUCCUUCCUUCUAGACAGCUGGAGGAGUUGCCGGAGCUCAAACGCAGACUGUGUGAAGUUUGAAAUCAGAGCUCCUCCUGAGGCGUUCAGGGACACAUUUGGUUGCCGGUUCAUGUUUUGUCUUGGCCGGUUUUUGAAACUCUUUUUAUGGUUUUGUCAGCUCACAGAAAGCGUUGAAGCUUCGGGGCUGUUUCUUUGGGUGAUGACAGAUUUAUUGUCUUGUUGCAGAUCUGCGCUCCUUCACUCCUGCACUGUGAAUGUUUGGAGAACAGGUGAUACAGGUGCACCAGGGAGGAGGAAGAGGAGGCGGAGGAGGGAAACAAACUAAGCAUUAGAACAUUUUCAACAUCUUCUGGGUGUCGGAAGGAUGAGUGACAGGUGGAAAUGUGCGGAUGGUUUGAAACUGAGAGUACUGUUUCUCAGCAGUGACAGCUCCCUGUCACAAAAUGGCUCUACAGAAAUGUAGUUCAGCUGACAAGUAAAGCCUGAUACUACCCAUGUGCCAAUUCUUCUAAUCUUUGGUCUAGACUUGAAUCCCAGAAUUCCUCAUUCUCAUCUUUUGCACAGAGGGUCUUCGGUCCAGGAGAGCGAGACAGAGGAGAAGUGAAUGUAGGACAGACGGAGUUAAUAGGAUUGAGUCUGUCAUAGAGCAAUAUCAGCUUUCCAUCUGUGGGGAUUAGAGAUAUGAGCGAGGAGAGGUGGACAGUAAUAUGCCAAAGAGGCUUAUGGUCCCCCUUGCAUAAAGAUAUGAUAUGUAUAUUACAGUGAACCCACUUUCACUCAGGUCCAGACUGGCAUCACUUUAUAGAUACUUUCAAAUGAUCUUAUACACAAUUUGGCACUUGUGACAUGUCACAUAAUUCACUAACAUGAAACAAUGCUUUCAUGAAUGAGUUCUUGCUCCCUAACAGAGCAUGAUAUCAUUGCAGGUAGAAAAGGUGCACAUCUUAACGUAUUUUUCUUUAUAAAUGACUCUUGUAAAAAUGAUAAAGAGCCAGAGAGCAGCUCCAUUCAUAUGACAAAAGAUGAGAAAAUGGCACAGAUGACAUGGAAGACAGCACUGCAUUGGAGUGUCACAGGGAAAGAAAAUGAACUUGCCUGCAGCAAAGAGUUGAGACGAUUCCUCUGGUUUUUUGUUUUUGAAUUCUGGGGUGAACUGUACAGAAGCAGCUCUGGAAAUAACCACAAAAACACAGCAUAAGGUUAGCGUUGCAUAGUGGCUGCCCUUUCAUAACAAGCCUAAAGCUACACAAUCUUGUUUUUUCUGUACAUGUGGGCAGGUAAACAGGUGAUAUAUAUAUAUAUAUAUAUAUAUAUAUAUAUAUAUAUAUAUAUAUAUAUAUAU
ensembl:lncRNA